rnacentral:rRNA from 1 species
GACGAACGCUGGCGGCGUGCUUAAUACAUGCAAGUCGUACGGUCAUUUUCUUCGCGUUGUUUCAGUGGCUAACGGGCGGGUGACACGGUAGCAACCUGCCCCCCUCUCUGUGACAACCACUGGACGCGGUGGCUAAUACCCUAAACGACCCGCGUCUUUCCCCCGCGUGGGGGGAAAAGGUUUCGGCUCGGGAGGGGCUCGCGGCCGAUCAGCUCGCGGGUGAGUUGCAGGUUCACCGAGGCGAGGCCGGGCAGCCGGCCUGAGAGGGAGACAGGCCACAAUGGGACUGAGACACGGGCCAGACUGCUUCGGGAGGCAGCGGUGGGGGAUAGUGCACGAUGGGCGGCAGCCUGGUGCAGCGACGCCGCGUGGGAGAUGACGGCCUUCGGGUAAUAAAAAGCUUCCAGCGCCGAAGGAGCGACCGUGACGGUAGGAGCAGAGGAAGCCACGGCUAACUACGUG